rnacentral:lncRNA from 1 species
AAUGGUAGUGGUAAUGGUAGUGGUAAUAGUAGUGGUUAUGGAGGUGUUAAUGGAGGUGUUAAUGGAGGUGUUAAUGGAGGUGUUAAUGGAGGUGGUAAUGGAGGUGUUAAUGGAGGUGUUAAUGGAGGUGGUAGUGAACAUAUGUUUAUUUAUAAUAAUGUACAAAACGAAAUGUAUAGAGAUCCAAAUUUUCAUCGUAACGUAGAUAUAAAUUAUACUAGAGAUAUAAAUAUACCUAACACAAAUAAUUCGAAAGAUGUAAAAAAUAAUAAUACAUUUGGAGAUAAUAUAGUAGUAAAAAAUAAUAUGAGAAAAGAAAGUAUAAAAUCUUUUAUAAAUAGUAAUAAUUUUAAUAAAAAAAAUCUACAUCUAGUAAUAAUGAUACAUUUGUAACAGGUCAUGAUCAAGUUAACAACAACACCUCUGUAAAUAUUAUUUCUGACCCUACUACAUCGGGUAAUAUAUCAAAUAUGUCCAUGGGAAAAAACAUAAUGAAUAAUAUUAAUAAGAAAGAAAAUACAACACAGAGGGAUAUAAAUAAUAAUAUAUUUAGUACUGGUAUUAAUAUGAUGAAAACAUCCGUUAACAACAAUUUAGAAAAUAAUACAACUAAUACUAUGAAUAAUUAUAUUGAUGGAAUGAAUAGUAAUAACAACAAAAACAUAUCAACUCUCGCUACGAACAAUAGUACUGAUAAUAAUAAUAAUGGCGAUAGUUCUAGUAUAAAUAAUAACAACAGUAAUAACAAUAAUAAUAACAGUAAUAACAAUAAUAAUAACAGUAAUAACAAUAAUAAUAAUAAUAGUAAUAGUAAUAUGCAUAGAUACAACCGAUACAUGCCAAACAGAAAUAAUAUAGGUAACCCAUUAUUUAACCAAAUGUAUAAUUUGAAAUUACCUUAUAAUAAUAAUGAUGUUAUAAAUUAUAAUUUUAAUUUACAUAAUUUUUAUCAAAUGGGUUGUGAUAACAACAUGAAUAAAUCAUGGAUGAAUAGAUAUACUGGUUAUAUAGGACCAGUGGAGGUACCUCCUUACAAUAAUAAUCUUAACAGUGGUAACAUUGGCAAUAGUAGUAACAUUGGCAAUAGUAGUAACAGUGGUAACAUUGGCAAUAGUAGUAACAGUAAUAACAGUAAUAACAGUAAUAACAGUGGUAACAUUGGUAACAUUGGCAAUAGUAGUAACAGUGGUAACAUUGGCAAUAGUAAUAACAGUAAUAACAGUAAUAACAGUAGUAAUAAGGAACAUGGGGGAAAUACUAGUGAUAUGAAUAACAAUAUAAACAGUCAAGUUCCUUAUAAUUCAUACAAUAUCCAUACACAAUCUAAUAAAAACAUAAAUGGUUUACAAACAAGUGGACGAACUAACUAUACAACGAAAGAAUCUAAUGGAAAUAAUUUAUCGACAUUUUAUUUAUAUAAUAAUGUAAAAAAUCAAAAUAAUGUAAAUGGUGUUGAACUGACAAAUAAACCAAGUACUGGAAUAAUUGAUAAUAUAAUAAAUAGUUUAAAUAACAAUACGAAUAAUAACAUACCUUCUGAUCAAACUAAUUCUUAUACUGGUUCAAAUAAAAAUGAGAAUAUAUCAUUAUGCACAAAUAAUGGAAAUGUAGGUAGUGAUAAUGUAUGUAGUGACAAUGUAUGUAGUGACAAUGUAGGUAGUGACAAUGUAGGUAAUGACAAUGUAGGUAAUGACAAUGUAGGUAAUGACAAUGUAGGUAAUGACAAUGUAGG